rnacentral:rRNA from 1 species
GAGUUUGAUCGUGGCUCAGGAUAAACGCUGGCGGCAUGCCUAAUACAUGCAAGUCGAACGGGAGUGCUUGCACUCCAGUGGCGAACGGGUGAGUAACACGUAUCUAAUCUACCUUUUAGUGGGGGGAUAACCUUUGGAAACGAAGGAUAAUACCGCAUAAGAUCUUCAUUAUGACAUCAGAAGAAGAGGAAAGAUCCGUUUGGAUCGCUAAAAGAUGAGGAUGCGGCGUAUUAGUUAGUAGGCGGGGUAAAGGCCCACCUAGACGAUGAUACGUAGCCGAACUGAGAGGUUGAUCGGCCACAUUGGGACUGAGAUACGGCCCAGACUCCUACGGGAGGCAGCAGUAGGGAAUUUUUCACAAUGGACGAAAGUCUGAUGAAGCAAUGCCGCGUGAGUGAUGAAGGUCUUCGGAUUGUAAAGCUCUGUUGUAAGGGAAGAAUAAGCC